rnacentral:sRNA from 1 species
UCCAUGGGAACAGUCGUCGGUAAGUCGU